rnacentral:rRNA from 1 species
UACGUAGGUGGCAAGCGUUGUCCGGAAUUAUUGGGCGUAAAGCGCAUGCAGGCGGAUCGUUAAGUCGGGGGUGAAAUCCCGAGGCUCAACCUCGGAACUGCCUUCGAUACUGGCGAUCUUGAGUCCGGGAGAGGUGAGUGGAACUGCGAGUGUAGAGGUGAAAUUCGUAGAUAUUCGCAAGAACACCAGUGGCGAAGGCGGCUCACUGGCCCGGUACUGACGCUGAGAUGCGAAAGCGUGGGGAGCAAACAGG